AAAUGAAGGCAGAGAUCAG
rnacentral:snRNA from 1 species